rnacentral:rRNA from 1 species
UACGAAGGGGGCUAGCGUUGCUCGGAAUCACUGGGCGUAAAGCGCACGUAGGCGGCUUUUUAAGUUAGAGGUGAAAGCCCAGGGCUUAACUCUGGAAUUGCCUUUAAGACUGCAUCGCUAGAAUCGUGGAGAGGUGAGUGGAAUUCCGAGUGUAGAGGUGAAACUCGUAGAUAUUCGGAAGAACACCAGUGGCGAAGGCGACUCACUGGACACGUAUUGACGCCGAGGUGCGAAAGCGUGGGGAGCAAACAGG